rnacentral:pre_miRNA from 1 species
AUUCUACUCCCUCCGUUGCACAAUACAUGCCUUCUAUUUGUCAAAAUAUAUAUGUAUCUAGACAUGUCUUGGUAUAUAGGUACAUCCAUUUUUGGACAAAUGGAAGUCAAGUAUUUUGGAACGGAGGGAGUACACA